rnacentral:rRNA from 1 species
UUAUGGCUCAGGAUGAACGCUGGCGGCGUGCUUAACACAUGCAAGUCGAACGAAGCAACUAUCUUGCUUGCAAGAGAGUUGACUUAGUGGCGGACGGGUGAGUAACGCGUGGGUAACCUGCCUCAUACAGGGGGAUAACAGUUGGAAACGACUGCUAAGACCGCAUAACCCGCUAGUGUCGCAUGACACGGACGGAAAAUAUUUAUAGGUAUGAGAUGGGCCCGCGUCUGAUUAGCUAGUUGGUAAGGUAACGGCUUACCAAGGCGACGAUCAGUAGCCGACUUGAGAGAGUGAUCGGCCACAUUGGGACUGAGACACGGCCCAAACUCCUACGGGAGGCAGCAGUGGGGAAUAUUGGACAAUGGGGGAAACCCUGAUCCAGCCGACGCCGCGUGAGUGAAGAAGUAUUUCGGUAUGUAAAGCUCUAUCAGCAGGGAAGAUAAUGACAGUACCUGACUAAGAAGCCCCGGCUAACUACGUGCCAGCCGCCGC